GUUGGCCAAGAGCUAGUUCUUGUUGGAGAGCUAUUUGAAUAGCUACUUGGAGAGCCACUCCAAGAGCCCCAAUGUACAUGCUGUUAUGUGUACUCUUAUAAACAAAUAAAAAUCAUACGGAGUAGAAAUAAAUUUGGAACCCAUUGGUAAAUUUCUAGAUCCGACCUAGGUACUUCUAUUUAUGAUGGCACUGCCGCUCUAGCAAGUUCUGUUCGUUGCUAAUUGGCCUAAUUGCUAUGGUUCAUUGCCGCUAAAUUCCCGUCAAAUGGAGUCUCACUGCUUCCUCACACUACUUGUCUUCCUCUUCCUGCUAAUUCCGAUGAUAUAAAAAUAAUAGCAAUGGCCCGUCGUAGGGCUCGUCAAUGGUGGGUUUUCUGAGAAGAGGUCUAGGUGUGUGCAAGGUUUGCACUUAAGAUGUUCCCACUUCCGAAUUCCGAAAUAUUAAUGGUGCCUAACUUUGUUGGAAGAAUUCAUUUCAGGAUCUUGUUGUCCGUUUUUAGAACAGAAUCGUGAGUGGUUUAAAAUGCACGAGGGGGAUUGGUAUCAGACGAAAUGGAGGGGAAAAAAUGAAGUGUAAUCUAAAUUUCUAAUACAAAGUACUUGUUUUUGUUAUUGUUACUUGUAAGUUACUAUUGUUUAGCCAUUUGGUUUUUUUCAUCUAACUUAGUUUUUAUUGUUUCUGUCAAGUUCAUUGAACAA